rnacentral:rRNA from 1 species
AUUGAACGCUGGCGGCAUGCCUUACACAUGCAAGUCGAACGGUAACAGGUCUUCGGAUGCUGACGAGUGGCGAACGGGUGAGUAAUACAUCGGAACGUGCCUAGUAGUGGGGGAUAACUACUCGAAAGAGUGGCUAAUACCGCAUGAGAUCUACGGAUGAAAGCAGGGGAUCGCAAGACCUUGUGCUACUAGAGCGGCCGAUGGCAGAUUAGGUAGUUGGUGGGAUAAAAGCUUACCAAGCCGACGAUCUGUAGCUGGUCUGAGAGGACGAUCAGCCACACUGGGACUGAGACACGGCCCAGACACCUACGGGAGGCAGCAGGGGGGAAUUUUGGACAAUGGGCGAAAGCCUGAUCCAGCAAUGCCGCGUGCAGGAUGAAGGCCUUCGGGUUGUAAACUGCUUUUGUACGGAACGAAAAGCCCCGGGUUAAUACCCUGGGGUCAUGACGGUACCGUAAGAAUAAGCACCGGCUAACUACGUGCCAGCCGCCGCGGUAA